rnacentral:rRNA from 1 species
AGGACGAACGCUGGCGGCGUGCUUCAUACAUGCAAAGUCGAACGAGAAUCUGUAGCUUGCUACAGAGGAAAGUGGCGGACGGGUGAGUAAAAUGUAGAGAAUCUGCCCUAGAGUGGGGGACAACCGUUGGAAACGACAGCUAAUACCCCAUAUGAGCGUACCUGAAAUGGUAUUCUUGAAAACUCCGGUGCUCUGGGAUGAGUCUGCAUCUGAUUAGCUAUUGGGGGUGUAAUGGACCACCAAGGCGACGAUCAGUAGCUGGUUUGAGAGGAUGAUCAGCCACAAUGGGACUGAGACACGGCCCAUACUCCUACGGGAGGCAGCAGUAGGGAAUUUUGCGCAAUGGGGGAAACCCUGACGUACCAGCAACGCCGCGUGAUCGAGACGUCUUUUCGGAGUGUAAAGAUCUGUCAGUGGGGACGAACAAUGACGGUACCCACAGAGGAAGCACCGGCUAACUCCGUGCCAGCCGCCGC